CAGACGUGCUGUCAAGUGACUCUCUCUCUCUCUGCUGUGCAGUUUGAAGUAGCAAACUGCGUAAGAGCAAGUGCUCUGCCUAGUUAUAUAAACUUAUGGAGUAGAGCAUCCAGAAGAAAAUCCACCAUCAGAACAAGAAAACUAGACCUUUAUUUUCUAACUGACGUUCUGCCAAAUAGCAAAGACAGAUCCCACAAAGAAGGACAAUGGUGCAAACGAAUAUCUUCAUCCUUUUCUUGAUGACCAUCAUUGGUUACGUCUUGAGUGGGGGCUAUGCCCGUUCAAAAUACAUGUAUCCAAUGGUUAAAGGCCCAGUUGGACCUCCUUUCAGGGAAGGCAAAGGACAAUAUAUAGAUAACUGCAGACUACACAAGACAAAGCUGCAACUGCUGUAUGUUUGUGAUUUUUCAUGGACUUAUAUGAAAUCCUGUAAACUGAUUUAAAAUGGCUUCCUUGAACCUCUUCUCCCUGGCAAUUGAAGAUAUUCGAUAUGUAUCUAAAGUCAAAAUUCUAAUUAGCUAUUCUUGAUUCCAACUUCCUUUCAUCUUAGAAGUAACUGAAUAAUUUACAGAAUUUAAUAUUUGUAAUGUUUUUUUAUGCGACAUGGUAGACUUUGGGUCUACUCAUUGCAGACUCAGAAGCAGCUGCCAUUGUGUCUAAUUGUAAAUACCUCACACUUCCUUCCCAAUAAAGCAAUGAAUCUUC